rnacentral:lncRNA from 1 species
AUGUGUGCAUUCCUCGGGCGUGACUGCAUCACUGCAGGGAAUCUGUCACCCACUGGCCUCCCUGGAACACUGGUUCUGCCACUCAACUGCCCACCCAGGCCAGGAGCUGUCCUACCCCCACCCGGAACCUUCUGCUCCUGGAUGCCAGCUCCCCACCUCUCCACUGCCGCCUCCAAUGCCGUCCUGGGGCAACUGUUGGCCGGCGAGUGGACGGGUCGUCCUCACCUGUCUUCCCUCCACCCCCACCAGACUCCAGAGUCCACGGCGCCAACCAGACCUUGCAAACUCUCGUCUCAAGUAGAGCAGGAGCUCACGGGAACUCCCCACACGCAGACGCCCGCACGACGUGGCUCAUGCCGACAUCAUCCACCGAAACAUACCCCACGCUUUGUGGACAGACAUCCUCGUGGUUCGCACCCAGAGCCGCCUGUCCCUGCCCUAGAGACCACGGGCCACCUGGGAGAUUUAGCUCUCUGUUCACCUUUACACGUACGGCCGGCACCCCUACAGUUUGGAAAAGUGACAGUGAUGAGGAGGUGGUCCUGCCCCUAUGCCCGCCGGGCCCCGGAGCUGAAGCGGAGCCCCAGCCUACCGCCGCCCAGCCCGAUUCAUGAACUACGGACACGAGCUGGGCUUUGCCAGCCGGGAUUCUGGGCUGCCACCAGCCGCCCCAAACUCUCCCACCCCACCGGGCACCCCGUUGGGUGUGCGUCCAGCUGUGGUCUCACUUCAUCUGCUCUUAGUGACGUGGCAAAGGCCCCGGGUAUGACGGGCAUGUUUGGGUGGGAACUCGGAGGAGACACUGAGGGGGAGGAAGAGGGAAGCAGCCGCGGGGCUCGGGAACAGGCCUGCCCGGUGGUGUUCGCGGAGUACCUGGAACCGAACCCACCUGCCGGAAGCCUGCCUCCAGCCCAGGGCCGCCUUCACUUCCGUCUCCCACUCACAGGUGGGGCUCUGGCCAAAUGUAACCUCCCGAUCAGGGUCACGGUCACCUGUGCGGGGACCUGCCGCCCCCGGUGGCCUCCCCCAGCUUCCAGACCCGGCUCCUCCCGCUCAGCAGAUGAGCCCAAAUUAAGCUCCUGUGUGGACCCCGGCAUCCGGUCUUCCUCACCACGCCCCCCGGCGUGUGGCCAGAGCAGCUGGGCCCGUCUGCCCGCGUCAGGAGGGGCUCAAGGGGCACGACCUGCGCGGCCGCACCUGCUCUCCGCCGGGCACCAGCCAAGCCGGGAGGAUCCCAAACCGGAGGCCUGUGCUGCUCUUGCUGACUGA